GACGAACGCUGGCGGCGUGCUUAACACAUGCAAGUCGAACGGAAAGGCCUGCUUUCCCUUGUGGAUUGCGGGUACUCGAGUGGCGAACGGGUGAGUAACACGUGAGUGACCUGCCCCCAACUUGGGUAUAAGCCUGGGAAACUGGGUCUAAUUCCCGAUAGGACUGCAGGGUGGUGCCUGUGGUGGAAAACGAUUUUCUAGUGGUUGGGGAUGAGCUCGCGGCCUAUCAGCUUGUUGGUGGGGUAAUGGCCUACCAAGGCGGCGACGGGUAGCCGGCCUGAGAGGGUGGACGGCCACAUUGGGACUGAGAUACGGCCCAGACUCCUACGGGAGGCAGCAGUGGGGAAUAUUGCACAAGGGGCGGAAGCCUGAUGCAGCGACGCCGCGUGGGGGAUGACGGCCUUCGGGUUGUAAACUCCUUUCGACCGCGAGGAAGCCACCUGGUUGGAAGGGUGGUGACGGUAGUGGUAGAAGAAGCACCGGCUAACUACGUG
rnacentral:rRNA from 1 species